AUGUUAUUGUACAGUGGGGGUGAGCUUCGUGUGUGGCGUUCGAAGGAUGAAGAGGGUUGUUUGGUGGAUUGCGAAAGUCCACUCUCUGUCCUUGAAACCAAUGAUGCUGGGCGUGAGGGGGAGAUAAGUGGGUUGGAGUUCGUGAAGCGGUUGUGUGUUGUAGAGACGCCAUUGUUGGCGUGGGUAGAGGAAGAAGGUUCGGUGAGUUUGAUGAAGGUGACGGGAAAUGCUACGGUGGGUUACAGUGGCUAA